GGUGCCAGCAGCCGCGGUAAUUCCAGCUCCAAUAGCGUAUAUUAAAAUUGUUGCCGUUAAAAAGCUCGUAGUCGAACUUCGGGCUCUGUCAGCCGGUCCGCCUUCUUGGUGUGUACUUGUUUGACGGAGCCUUACCUCCUGGUGAACGGCGAUGUCCUUUACUGGGUGUCGUCGCAAACCAGGACUUUUACUUUGAAAAAAUUAGAGUGUUCAAAGCAGGCCUUUGCCCGAAUACAUUAGCAUGGAAUAAUAAAAUAGGACGCGCGUUCCCAUUUUGUUGGUUUCUGAGAUCGCCGUAAUGAUUAAUAGGGAUAGUUGGGGGCAUUUGUAUUCCGUCGUCAGAGGUGAAAUUCUUGGAUUGCCGGAAGACAAACUACUGCGAAAGCAUUUGCCAAGGAUGUUUUCAUUGAUCAAGAACGAAGGAAGGGGGAUCGAAAACGAUUAGAUACCGUUGUAGUCUCUUCUGUAAACUAUGCCAAUUGGGGAUCGGUACAGGAUUUUUAAUGACUGUAUCGGCACCCGAAGAGAAAUCUUUAAAUGAGGUUCGGGGGGGAGUAUGGUCGCAAGGCUGAAACUUAAAGGAAUUGACGGAAGGGCACCACCAGGUGUGGAGCCUGCGGCUUAAUUUGACUCAACACGGGGAAACUCACCAGGUCCAGACACAAUAAGGAUUGACAGAUUGAUAGCUCUUUCUUGAUCUUGUGGUUGGUGGUGCAUGGCCGUUCUUAGUUGGUGGAGUGAUUUGUCUGGUUAAUUCCGAUAACGAACGAGACCUUAACCUGCUAAAUAGACCAGCCGGCUU
rnacentral:rRNA from 1 species